rnacentral:rRNA from 1 species
CCGGCGCACGGGUGCGUAACGCGUAUGCAACCUACCUUUUACAAAGGGAUAGCCCGGAGAAAUUCGGAUUAAUACCUUAUAGUAUUGUUGAUAAUCAUUUAUUAACAAUUAAAGUUUCGGCGGUAAAAGAUGGGCAUGCGUCCUAUUAGCUAGAUGGAGUGGUAACGGCACCCCAUGGCAACGAUAGGUAGGGGUCCUGAGAGGGAGAUCCCCCACACUGGUACUGAGACACGGACCAGACUCCUACGGGAGGCAGCAGUGAGGAAUAUUGGACAAUGGACGCAAGUCUGAUCCAGCCAUGCCGCGUGCAGGAAGACGGCCCUAUGGGUUGUAAACUGCUUUUAUACAAGAAGAAUAAGACUUACGUGUAAGUUGAUGACGGUAUUGUAUGAAUAAGCACCGGCUAACUCCGUGCCAGCAGCCGCGGUAAUACGGAGGGUGCAAGCGUUAUCCGGAAUCAUUGGGUUUAAAGGGUCCGUAGGCGGGCUAAUAAGUCAGGGGUGAAAGUUUGCAGCUCAACUGUAAAAUUGCCUUUGAUACUGUUAGUCUUGAAUUAGUAGGAAGUGGUUAGAAUAAGUAGUGUAGCGGUGAAAUGCAUAGAUAUUACUUAGAAUACCGAUUGCGAAGGCAGAU